rnacentral:sRNA from 1 species
GUGCGGCAGUCGAAGGCGAGGAGGCGAGGAACCGCCGCGGCUUCUGGCGUUCUCCGCUCUGGUUCGUAGGUGAAGAGAUGGCGUUUGUGAAGAGUGGCUGGUUGCUGCGACAGAGUACUAUUUUGAAGCGCUGGAAGAAGAACUGGUUUGAUCUGUGGUCGGAUGGUCACCUGAUCUAUUAUGAUGACCAGACUCGGCAGAAUAUCGAGGAUAAGGUCCACAUGCCAGUGGACUGCAUCAACAUCCGCACGGGGCAGGAAUGUCGGGAUAUUCAGCCCCCGGAUGGAAAGUCAAAAGACUGCAUGCUCCAGAUUGUUUGUCGAGAUGGGAAAACAAUUAGUCUUUGUGCAGAAAGCACAGAUGAUUGCUUGUAAGUUUUGCUUUCUUAUGUGUUUAAUUUAAAAAGUAUUUUCUAUUUUAACUUCUGAUUACCAAAAAAUGAAAAGAAUGGGAGUGGAGUUUUCUUUCAGGCGUCAGAAUAAGGGACUCAGUGGAUGUGUGAGAGAAAUGCAAGAGUCGCUUUUCCAAUUCUAGUUUCUGCCUCUCUGAGACUGCCUGGGCCGAUCCCAUUGUGGUGAAAAUGGCAGAAAGGAAUAGCAGUCUCAUCAUGCUCUCUUUCAUUAUUAGAUUCACAGUGGGUAAC